CUGAGAGGAAGGGUGAGGCCAGUGCGCAGGAUGGCGGUAGCUGCUAAGACCGUGGACCACCAGGGCAGUCCAGAUGCGGCCUGCAUAGCUAUCAAACCCGAUUCUACCGUCGCGACAGGUUUCUGUAGAGAAGGAAUACAUUGCUAUUUUGAAAACUCUAUUCAAUCUUGGUGGUGUUACUAUAUGUGUAUGGAAUUAUGGAGAAGAUCAACCCUCAAAUGUUUAAACUGCACAAGUUCAAGAACUGAGGAAAAGAAAUGACCAACAAGAAUUGUUGAGGAAAAUAUUAUUUAAAAGCUGUAUUUCAAGUGCAACUGCUUCUGUAUAGUGUGGAAGAUUAUCAGUAAUAUAAGAAAGGAAAGCCCUAGAAAAAGGGCCUGUCCAAAAGUUGAAAAAAAAAGAUGUUUAGGCUACUUCUAUUAAUAAAAUUGGGAUUAUGGUAUGAGGUUCUGCAAUUCAAAAAGAAAAUAAAUAUGUUUUGCUUCUGUAUGCAACUAUGAUUAAUUUAAUUACAUCCAUGCUUUGUGGUUUAUCCAUUACUUAUAAAAGUAUUUUUGAUAACCAGAACUGUACUUAAGAUAAGACUAGCAUUCAGAUCUAUGUAAGAAUGGCGUAGGAUGGCUUUUAUAUAUUUAAAAUCCUGUGAAUUAUAGCCAGGGUUCCAUGAAUUAUUUUAUUACUUAAGUAAAUAUAUACCUACCCAUAUAUAUUGCAAAUAGUUUGUGGAUAUAUUUCAAAAUAAAGACCUAGAAGGUCUCAAAAAAAGAACAUGUUCCUUGUCUUUAUUGGUCAAGUAUGCAUUACAUUUGAAAUAUAAAAAGUGUUCCAAAAAUGUUCCUAAUACAGACUUCUAGUAUUCACCCACCCAGUAUUUUAAUUUGACAAGGCUUAUUUCAUAAACAAGACAUGAAGUGUUUCAAUCUGUUCUAUUAAUAUUUUUGCUUUCAAGUCAACAAAAUACAGAUUGCUUUAAUAAGAAACCACAUCCUAGGAAACUUAGCUGAACCUGACAAUAUAUUUUAUUGUAAUAAAUACUAAGCAGCACCUACUCUGCUGAAGGAUUAUUUUAAAGAAGCAACAAUAAUCCUAAUUAACUGUAGUAAGCAUAAACUAAAGAUUGUUGCAAAUAUUAUAUAAAAUACUUAAAUAGCAUUAUUCCCCCACCCAUUAAAGUGCUGAAAAUUAGGUUGGUAUGUUUUUCUCCUUUCCAUCAACAGCUAUUUGAUUAGACAUUCUUUUUUUUACAACCAAUUUCAAAUAUUUCAAUAGGUAUAGUAAAAGAUAAUGGAAAGGUUAUUUUAAGAGCACCAGUCGAGGGCAUGUACACAGACAAACUUAUUUAUUCAUGAAUCUUUUAACAUUUCUAAAUGUCCAUUAACAAGGCUGCAGGAUUCUUUGGGGAAAUCGUUUUUCUUGCUGGCUUUACACCUGAAACAAAAUUUUAGUAAAUUUUAGAAUUUACUAAAAACUGAACUAGUCUAAGUAACCUUAAUUUCAUUUGUGUAAAUCUUGUGUUGAGCCAUCAACACUAUUAUUUCUGUGGUAAUAAGCCCUACUAAAUUCAAUGGCACUUCUGAAAUGAUAUGUAGAAGCUUGCAGUGUUAAUUCCAUAUGAGAAACAACUGCUACUGCAACACAGUUCAUUUCUCCCAACUAUCAAAGAAAAGAGACAUUGGCCUCUUUGUAUUCUCACGUCAUACUCGCCAUGAAUAGAACUUAUAAAAUUUAAAAAUACAUACCACACAUUGAUGUAUCCAUCAUUUAGAUUUUAGAAGUACCUGAGAUAGGUGGUAACAAUUAUAAUUACUUAUUAUCAUCUGCCACAGGUACUUCUAAAAUCUGUUCUAGAUUGGAAGAGAUUAUUUCCCAAUUAGUAUUCUAAUGAUUUCUUUUGUGCCAUCUUUUAGUUCAGGGGUCUUCAAACUUGGCCCUUUUAUGACUUGUGGACCAACUCACAGAAUUCUUCAGCCAGCAUGCCUGGCUGAGGACUUCUGGGAGUUGAAGUCCACAAAUCAUAAAAGGGCCAAGUUUGAAGACCCCUGUUUUAGCAGUGGAAGUAAUCCAGGGUCACAUUAUACAUUUUGAUAAUUUCAGAAUAGAUUAUUCCCUUGGCAUGAUAAUUCAGUAUCUUCUAAAUUUGAGCCAUUUCUAUCAAUAAAGUUCUUAGCAGAAAACAAUGGUCAAUUCAUUCUGACUGAAUAAAAAAAAA